rnacentral:rRNA from 1 species
CGACCGGCGCACGGGUGCGUAACGCGUAUGCAACCUACCUUUAACAGGGGGAUAACACUGAGAAAUUGGUACUAAUACCCCAUAAUAUCAUAGAAGGGCAUCUUUUAUGGUUGAAAAUUCCGAUGGUUAGAGAUGGGCAUGCGUUGUAUUAGCUAGUUGGUGGGGUAACGGCUCACCAAGGCGACGAUACAUAGGGGGACUGAGAGGUUAACCCCCCACACUGGUACUGAGACACGGACCAG